rnacentral:rRNA from 1 species
CUCCCAAACCCCUGUGAACAUACCUUAUGUUGCCUCGGCGGAUCAGCCCGCGCCCCGUAAAAAGGGACGGCCCGCCGCAGGAACCCUAAACUCUGUUUUUAGUGGAACUUCUGAGUAUAAAAAACAAAUAAAUCAAAACUUUCAACAACGGAUCUCUUGGUUCUGGCAUCGAUGAAGAACGCAGCAAAAUGCGAUAAGUAAUGUGAAUUGCAGAAUUCAGUGAAUCAUCGAAUCUUUGAACGCACAUUGCGCCCGCCAGUAUUCUGGCGGGCAUGCCUGUUCGAGCGUCAUUUCAACCCUCAAGCCCAGCUUGGUGUUGGGAGCUGCAGUCCUGCUGCACUCCCCAAAUACAUUGGCGGUCACGUCGAGCUUCCAUAGCGUAGUAAUUUACAUAUCGUUACUGGUAAUCGUCGCGGCCACGCCGUUAAACCCCAACUUCUGAAUGUUGACCUCGGAUCAGGUAGGACUACCCGCUGAACUUAAGCAUAUC